GGGGGAGGCAGGUCAGUGAAACCAAGCCAAUUACACAAUGAGGCAUUACUUAGAUGGAGUUGUACCAACGAAAGUAAACAAAACGAAUUUUAAACCGGGCGAAGGCUUCAGUUGACUUGUUCCUCUCAGUCCGUUGGCACCUAUUCAUGAAUCGAUGUUGGAAUUACGCAAAUAAUAUAAUAAUUACGAAAGCUUGUGUCAUGGUGGGUAAUUGUAUUGUCUUUCAGUUUAUUUGUUAUUGCUUUGUAAAGUGACGAGGUUAUUGGAAGUUAUUAUGAGUAUAUGCAAGACGAGAUGCGGUUAUCUGUGAACGUUCACAUCGGUCAUUUGGAAUUUCAGUUCAAGGAAACAAUUUAAAAAAGCUUCCUGGUAAGCGCGUAUUGCAGAUAGGCUAUAAGUGGAGUGACGAAAAAGGGAGAGCGCAAAGAAAUUGACAAGGCAGAGCGGAUGAUCGGGAAAUUUGAGUGAUAUUUCCUAUUUACGAGUGUUCAUAACGCCAUUCUAAUUGAAGACAUGGUGAUCCUCGAGGGACAGCUCCUUACGUAUGAGAGCGAGAAUAAAAAGUGAGUGGCACCCUGGCAAACAACCUGAGACUUCAUCAAGGCGCACACAGAAGUUAGCCUAUAGGCUAUAUGGAGCAGACCUUUUAAUUACUUUUCCAUUCUCUCCCAUCAAGUCGGUCAAGGAAGGAUCAGAAGAUGACCGUACUUGCAGCCCAAAUACACUUCUUAUAAAAACGGAUGAUUCUCUCCUUUCCUCUGUGGUCGUGUUUUAAAUCGUGGAAUGGUAUGGGGCAGAACGGUGCCGAAGACUGAGUUAUCCGGCGCGGUUCAAUAGCGUUGACAUUAAAACAUCGACGGAUUUACUGGAGGAUAUUAGAAACGGAGACAAAACAGGGGUCUCGUUAAACUCACGGCAGAGUCAGAGAGGGAGAUCCCUUUCCUCAGCCUACCGUAGCAAUGAGCGGACUGUGCAAGCCUGUAGUUAUGGGACUCAUAUUGCUGAUCUGCAGUACUACCAGCCACUGUGAGGAGAGCGCGCCAGCCACGGCUCCCACGGUCGCGAAGAACGACAAGAGCCUACUCAGGCGGAUUGUAGACAUAGUGAAGCACGUGGAGGAGAGCCGCGGUGAGAACCGCACGAACGCAGCAUCGCAGUCGACUUCUAGGAGAGAAUCCCCAGUUGAGACAAAAAGGGAUUUACGAAACCUCAAAACAGAUAGUGGCGAUCAAAUUAUUGAAAUAUUUCCUAGAGAUCUCAGAAAGAAAGAAAAGUUUUUAAAACACUUAACAGGUCCUCUGUAUUUCAAUCCCAAAUGCAGGAAGCACGUAUACAGACUAUAUCACAACACCAGAGACUGCACAAUACCUGCAUACUUCAAAAGAUGCGCACGGCUUCUCACACGCUUAGCAGGGAGCCCACGAUGUACAGAAGGGUAGCAGAAAUCAAGUUGAAGCCAAACCAGAGCUGUCCAGAAGAGAGCCCUGACAAAAAGUGCCUUAGACAACAACAGGGAAACCAAACAAACUCGAACCAGUCACGUCCGCCAUUACGCAGUAUCCGUCACCAGAGUUCACUAUUUUACAAAGACAUGGAUUACCACUCACAGGCCUCCCUGGACCCUACACAGUCUGUGGUCACUGUGGGUCUUGACAAGAGACUAUACAGAAGAUACAGAAGGUGAAGGGGAAAAAAUGGCAGCAACCACAGAUUUCGGGGUUAUUAUUGUCCUGCUGGCUGGACAAACUCUACUUUCUUCUUUCUUUCUUGGUUUUUACCAAAAGAGAAAAGGGAUUGCUUUUGUUUGUUUUUAACCCCCCCCCCCACCCCCCAAAAAACAACAACAACAAUUGAAAUCAAUCAAAUCUUUUGGUUGGGUUGCGACAUGCCUUUUUAGGUUGUAUUUAUGUUGUGGUUCGGCGUCAUAUCUUUGUCAGCAGCACUACCUAUUAGUGGAUAAAAGGCUAUCUCGGAAAUUCUCUCACCUACCUGUGACCACACUGAAWCGUAUGAUUAAAUUAUUAACUGCAUGACAAUUUCCUUGCCUUUUUAUGUCUUUGUAAGACAUGUAUUAAAACAAGAGACACUAUAUAUUAGGCACUGGUUGCAGUCAGAAGUUGUGUGUAAGAAGAAACCCUCCUGUGAGUCUGAGUGUGGUAGUGUGGUACAUAGUAUAUUUAUAUAUUCAAGUUGUCAUAUGUUUUCCUCUGUAUACAGUAUGUAUAAACAUUCUAACCUGAGUGCAAUAUGUACAUAUUGUAAAAAGCAUAAAUGGAAUCCACAUAACAACCAUAAAUUAAAGUGUUUGACGUAUAUUAACUUGGUGUUAAAAAAUAUAUAUCAAAAACAUGAAAUAUAUUUAAAUAAAUUAUAAGAUUGGUACAAAUAUGA